rnacentral:rRNA from 1 species
AUUGAACGCUGGCGGCAGGCCUAACACAUGCAAGUCGAACGAGUGGCGGACGGGUGAGUAAUGUCUGGGCAACUGCCCGAUGGAGGGGGAUAACUACUGGAAACGGUAGCUAAUACCGCAUACCAUCGGAUGUGCCCACAUGGGAUUAGCUAGUAGGUGGGGUAACGGCUCACCCAGGCGACGAUCCCUAGCUGGUCUGAGAGGAUGACCAGCCACACUGGAACUGAGACACGGUCCAGACUCCUACGGGAGGCAGCAGUGGGGAAUAUUGCACAAUGGGCGCAAGCCUGAUGCAGCCAUGCCGCGUGUAUGAAGAAGGCCUUCGGGUUGUAAAGGACUUUCAGCGAGGAGGCGUUACUCGCAGAAGAAGCACCGGCUAACUCCGUGCCAGCAGCCGCGGUAAUUC